ACAUGCUUCUUUAUAUCCCCAUAUGGAUUACAUGGCUAUGGAAUGUAAGGAAGUGUGUGG
rnacentral:pre_miRNA from 1 species